UUUGUAAAUCAAUUUAAAAAUUAAAAAUAAAAUCAAAAUAGUUUAAAAUCAAAAUAAAGUAAUAAAUAUUUAAUAUUUAUAUUUUAAUUAAAUUAAAAUAAAAUAAAUCAUUAAUUAAAACCCAAAACCUAAAACUAACAAAUAAACACAAAAGAAAAUUGAAUCAUCCCCUUUCAUAGUCCUCUUCUUCUUCCUGCCCUUCUUCUUCUAUGUGAAGAGUUGUUUAAUGAUAUUAUAUUUGUUUGGGUAAAGGGGGUACGUUCUCCCUUGAUCAUGGGGUUCAUCGUCUUCUUUGCAUAGAGAAAAUUGAAAGGAACUUUUGUAGAGGAAAAAGAUGUUAGCCUCUAAAACUGAGGAGAGUGUUCGAGUUGGGGGCAGUUCCAUUUUGCAGCCUCAAUACACGCGUGAAAGUUCGGCUAUGGUUCUCCCUGCUCAGAGUCGGACGGAGCAACUCCGGCCGUCUAUGGCUCCAACGGACUUCACCAUCUUGAAAACUAUCUAUUUUCUCUCUCCCUGCGGUAUCCUUCUCUCUGUUUUACUCUAUGCGAAGUGUGAGGGAGAUAUGGGUGAGUUCGACAGAAUACUUGGCUUGGCGGAGAUCUGGUCAUCGACGGGACCAUUAUGGUUUGAUUUUUUUUACUGGAUGUAUUACAGGUUUCUUUGUUCAUCAUUAAGGAUUUUUUAGGAAUGUUUGUAUUAUUUUUUCUGGGUUUUUUUUUUAUUAUUAUUCAAGUUUUUCUGGGUUUUCUUAGUGGUCCGAUUUUUGUUGUCAAUUUGAUUUUGCUAGAUAGAUGCUGGUGAGUGAUGAGGUUUUCGACAGCAUUUGAUGUUGCUAAAGGUUUAAAUGGGAUCUGAGUAAAAAAAAAAAUUGGGGAAGAACAAUGGAUGAAUUUGAAUUGGGAUUAAAAAUUAUCUGGGUUCGGGAGCAAUGGAUGAACAUGAAUGAAUAUAUUAAAUGUAUUUAAUUUUAUUUUAAGUAUGUCAUUUAGUUUUUUUUUAAUAAAUUAUGUUUAAUUGUAAUUUAAUUUUUACUUUUUUUAAUGAUAUUUUUAAUUUUAAAAUACUUUUUAAAUAUUUAAAUUAAUUUUUUAAAUAAAAUAUAUAAAUUAAAUGACGUGGACUAAUCAAAGAAUAACACGUGGACAUUAACCUGGCACAUAACGGCCAGGUACCUACGGAAGUUCCACACUAGUGACGGAAGGUAUUUUUACCGCCAAAAAUACGACUUAGGUAUUUAUCUGCUACUCGGCAUAAAACUUAGGUAUUUAUGCCGCAAAUUACUC